UCCAGUUCAGAGAUCUAUUAGAAUCUUUGAUGUGUCGCAGAUGCCGCACUAACUAGUCAGUGCGCCUAUGUCGUAUUUAUUGUCGCAUGAUAUACAUGUUUAAAUGGCAAAAUUUUAUAUUGUUUAUCUAUGAAAUCAUUAUACGUAAAACCCCAUGUUUUAUACUAUUUUUAAUUUUUCUUUCCAAAAUGUCCAUUUUUAGAAAAAAAUAAUAUAAAAAAAUUGACCGCGGACUAAAAUCCAAGGAUCUUACAAAAUAUCUUAAACACUUCCAGCACUCACAGACUUGUCAGUUCUUUUUAACCAGUCUAUUAAACAAAGAUAAAACACCUGCGUUCUGGCGAUUCCUACUUUAGGCUGUGCAAGUGAUUGUGUAUCUCUCUCUAUCCCACUGAUUUUGAGAAUUGCGGGGCCGUACCCAAAUAAAUUUUUGGGCUGCUUUUGUAUUAUUUUCGACGUGUUUUUAAAGAGAUCUUUAAGGAUACUUUAAGGAUGGAUCUAUCACCUUUAAAAUAGUUGUUGGAUGGGUCUACCACCUUUAAUAGUUGGGAGGGGGGCCAUGUGAGGUUAUUAUUAUUUGAUGGGUUUUGCCGGUUUUGCUUUUUACACGUUUAUGAAAGUAAAGAAUUUAGAAUUUGGCCUGUAUUCGUCUAAUUUUUUUGCAGUUUUUACUGUGAGGAAGUGUGUUAUUUAUUUGUGUUUGUGGAUUUGUUUUAGCAUUAUACCUAAAGACCUUAAAUGUUUCGAAACAUUUAAGCCAUUUUAACACAUUUUAACAAUUUAAGCCAGUUUAUGGAGGCUUAUGGAGACCGUGAGUGCACAAGAAAGACAAUAACAUUUGUGAUGAAAACAAUAAGAGUGAUCUGGACAGUGAUUUAGACUUACAUAGUUCUGAUAGUUCAUUUUCUAGUGUUGAGAAAGCAAAAAGAAGCAAAGGAAGUAAAAGCUACAGGGGAAAUCAAGCAGUUUUAAAACGUAAUUGUUUAAGUACAGACGCCAAACAAAUUUAUCUAAAUGUCUAUAACAAUCUAAGGAAUGAUCCUCAGUUCACAAACGAUUGUAUUGCGGAUAUUCACAACGGAUAUUGCCAAAUUGCCAAGGCAAGGUGUGUAUUCUAAAUACAAAAACAAUGAGGUCCUGACCAUAUAGAUGGUUAAGGACACCUUAUCGGCAAGGGACAAACAUUUCUCUUUUUAAGCUUAAGAGCUGCUGUAAUGGAAUUAUCAGCUUACUGCCCCUGUUGUCCUUCAGCGAUACAAUAAAGACUGCUGCUUCAUCCAUACUCUGGAAAAAAGUCCCUUUUUUGCCAUACUUACUGCCCCUGUUGUCCUUCAGCGAUACAAUAAAGACUGCUUCUUCAUCCAUUCUCUGGGAAAAACCCUUUUUUGCUAUGCUUGCUGCCCCUGUUGUCCUUUAGCGAUACAAUAAAGACUGCUUCUUCAUCCAUACUCUGGAAAAAAGUCCAUUUUUUGCCAUACUUACUGCCUUUGUUGUCCUUCAGCGAUACAAUAAAGACUGCUUCUUCCUCCAUUCUCUGGAAAAAUGUCCCUUUUUUGCCAUACUUACUGCUCCUGUUUGUCCUUCAGCCACACAAUAAAGUAUACAUAAUAUAAUGCUUUAGUAUCCAUAUGCUGAUGUGCGAAAUGAAGUUGGAAUCCAUAGAGGCAAUAGAGAAAACGUUUCCUUCCUUAAUGGAAGAAACUGCUAAAGAACAAAGGCAAAAAAACAGAAUUUAGAAAAUUGUAUUAACUCUUUGGGCUAGAUUCGAAAGAGUGGUUAAAUUUAUAAAAGUAUUUAGUAUCCUCACUGUAGUUUUAGGAUCCAGUAUACUUAAAAUGUAGU